CAAGGAGUUCUCUCCGGCCUAAAUCAUAUAGGUGUUUACUUGAACAUAAUUAUGGGGUUAAUAACAUCUCACACCUACUUGAUAUUGGAAGUCAAAGGUUUUGUGUAUUUUUUCUGGGUACGACAAACAUAUUUUGGUUUAUGCCUUCAAGAUGGAUUUUGCAGUUGAAUAUGAAAACCAGGGAAAGUCAACCUCACUUGCAAUGCCCUCAAUACAGAUUCUCUGUUCCAAGAAAUUUUUUCCCUCCAUAGUAAAUUGUGUUUGUUUGGCCUAUGCUCCUGCAUCUCAAUGUUGUGUUCCCUGGGAUAAAGUCAAGCCCAGAAAUAAUAAUUCUAAG